GGCGAGUGAAGAGGGAAGAGCUCAAGCUGUCAAUCUGAACCUCUGUGGUUCCGAAUUGUAGUCUGAAAGAAUUCGUUGAAGCGGUGGCAGCGUCCAAAUCCCUUGGAAAGGGGUACCAGAGAGGGUGAGAGUCCCGUGUCUGGCGUGUGCCUUCCGUGUUUACGUUUUCUGGAGAGUCGGGUUGCUCGGGAUUGCAGCCUGAAUGGGAGGUAAAUUUCUCUCAAAGCUAAAUACUGGCGAGAGACCGAUAGCGAACAA
rnacentral:rRNA from 1 species